rnacentral:rRNA from 1 species
UCAGCCGCCGCGGUAAUACAGAGGGUGCGAGCGUUGUCCGGAAUCACUGGGCGUAAAGGGCGCGUAGGUGGCGCGACAAGUCGGUGGUGAAAGUUCGACGCUCAACGUCGAAUCGGCCACCGAUACUGUCGGGCUCGAGCACUGUAGAGGCUAAUGGAAUUCCGGGUGUAGCGGUGGAAUGCGUAGAGAUCCGGAAGAACACCGGUGGCGAAGGCGGUUAGCUGGGCAGUUGCUGACACUGAGGCGCGACAGCGUGGGGAGCAAACAGGAUUAGAUACCCUGGUAGUCCACGCCGUAAACGAUGGGCACUAGAUGCUUGGGGGAGCGACCCCCUGAGUGUCGACGCUAACGCAUUAAGUGCCCCGCCUGGGGAGUACGGCCGCAAGGCUGAAACUCAAAGGAAUUGACGGGGGCCCGCACAAGC